AUUGAACGCUGGCGGCAGGCCUAACACAUGCAAGUCGAACGCGAAAAGUCCUUCGGGAUGAGUAGAGUGGCGGACGGGUGAGUAACGCGUGGGAAUCUACCCUCGAGCGGGGGACAACCCGGGGAAACCCGGGGCUAAUACCGCAUACGUCCUACGGGAGAAAGCGGGCCUCUACACUAUGCUCGCACUCGAGGAUGAGCCCACGUCCGAUUAGCUAGUUGGUAGGGUAACGGCCUACCAAGGCCACGAUCGGUAGCUGGUCUGAGAGGAUGAUCAGCCACACUGGGACUGAGACACGGCCCAGACUCCUACGGGAGGCAGCAGUGGGGAAUAUUGGACAAUGGCGCAAGCCUGAUCCAGCAAUGCCGCGUGUGUG
rnacentral:rRNA from 1 species